rnacentral:rRNA from 1 species
CCUACGGGUGGCAGCAGUGGGGGAUAUUGCACAAUGGGGGAAACCCUGAUGCAGCGACGCCGCGUGAGUGAAGAAGUAUUUCGGUAUGUAAAGCUCUAUCAGCAGGGAAGAAAAUGACAGUACCUGACCAAGAAGCCCCGGCUAACUACGUGCCAGCAGCCGCGGUAAUACGUAGGGGGCAAGCGUUAUCCGGAUUUACUGGGUGUAAAGGGAGCGUAGACGGUUAUGUAAGUCUGGAGUGAAAGCCCGGGGCCCAACCCCGGGACUGCUUUGGAAACUGUUGAACUGGAGUACAGGAGAGGUAAGCGGAAUUCCUAGUGUAGCGGUGAAAUGCGUAGAUAUUAGGAGGAACACCAGUGGCGAAGGCGGCUUACUGAACUGUAACUGACGUUGAGGCUCGAAAGCGUGGGGAGCAAACAGGAUUAGAUACCCGUGUAGUC